CUCAUAUAAUCAGUUGCCCGACCUACUCCAAUUUGAUUCUUUUCACAUAUUUACACAUAAUAUAGUACUAUGAAAUGUUUCUGACCCAAAUAUUACGAAAUAGGAUUGUUUACAUUAAAAUGCAAAAGUUGAUGAAAAAGUAUGAUAAGGUGAAAAAAGUGACAUUUUAUGUCUAGAAAGUCAGUUUUCAUCAAAAGUACAAUAACAAAAGUAGUUCGCAUGCAUCCUGUGUCUCCUUACACACUUGUGCUCUUUAUCCGCUCAAAACGCUAUAGAGCGAACGAGAAGGCGCUAGGAGCAAAGGAAAGUGGUUUUUCUAACAAACUCAUAUAAUCAGUUGCCCGACCUACUCCAAUUUGAUUUUUUCACAUAGUUAGACAUAAUAUAGUACUAAGAAAUGUUUCUGACCCAAAAUAUUACGAAAUAUGAUUGUUUACAUUAAAAUGCAAAAGUUGAUGAAAAAGUAUGAUAAGGUGAAAAAAGUGACAUUUUAUGUCUAGAAAGUCAGUUUUCAUCAAAAGUACAAUAACAAAAGUAGUUCGCAUUCAUCCUGUGUCUCCUUACACACUUGUGCUCUUUAUCCGCUCAAAACGCUAUAGAGCGAACGAGAAGGCGCUAGGAGCAAAGGAAAGUGGUUUUUCUAACAAACUCAUAUAAUCAGUUGCCCGACCUACUCCAAUUUGAUUUUUUUCACAUAGUUAGACAUAAUAUAGUACUAAGAAAUGUUUCUGACCCAAAAUAUUACGAAAUAUGAUUGUUUACAUUAAAAUGCAAAAGUUGUUGAAAAAGUAUGAUAAGGCGAAAAAAGUGACAUUUUAUGUCUAGAAAGUCAGUUUUCUUCAAAAGUACAAUAACAAAAGUAGUUCGCAUUCAUCCUGUGUCUCCUUACACACUUGUGCUCUUUAUCCGCUCAAAACGCUAUAGAGCGAACGAGAAGGCGCUAGGAGCAAAGGAAAGUGGUUUUUCUAACAAACUCAUAUAAUCAGUUGCCCGACCUACUCCAAUUUGAUUUUUUUCACAUAGUUAGACAUAAUAUAGUACUAAGAAAUGUUUCUGACCCAAAAUAUUACGAAAUAUGAUUGUUUACAUUAAAAUGCAAAAGUUGUUGAAAAAGUAUGAUAAGGUGAAAAAAGUGACAUUUUAUGUCUAGAAAGUCAGUUUUCAUCAAAAGUACAAUAACAAAAGUAGUUCGCAUACAUCCUGUGUCUCCUUACACACUUGUGCUCUUUAUCCGCUCAAAACGCUAUAGAGCGAACGAGAAGGCGCUAGGAGCAAAGGAAAGUGGUUUUUCUAACAAACUCAUAUAAUCAGUUGCCCGACCUACUCCAAUUUGAUUUUUUUCACAUAGUUAGACAUAAUAUAGUACUAAGAAAUGUUUCUGACCCAAAAUAUUACGAAAUAUGAUUGUUUACAUUAAAAUGCAAAAGUAUGAUAAGGUGAAAAAAGUGACAUUUUAUGUCUAGAAAGUCACUUUGAAUCAAAAGUACAAUAACAAAACU
ensembl:lncRNA